rnacentral:misc_RNA from 1 species
GUGAUAUAUAAGAUGUUAUCAUAGGUCAAUUUCUGCACAUUGCAUUGAAUUCUCUUUUCUAAUUUGGUCAUAAAUAUGCCAUCCAUUUUAAAAAUAAAGAAUUUAGAAAUAAAAAAUAUCUUCUAAAUUGUCUUAAUGAGUUCAAUUAUGAAAAAUUCUUACCUAAAGUCAAUCUAUCAUGAAUUCAAGUUACAAAUAUAUAGAAUUCAUGUAUUUAAU